rnacentral:lncRNA from 1 species
AUGUUAGCUAGUUGUGCUGGCCACUUGGAUGUCAUUGAGUACCUGAGAUCACAAAGUGCUUCUUGGGAAGCCAGACUUCUGGAGGUCCUGUACUCGGCUGCAGAUGGAGGACCUUUUCCCAUUACUGAAUGGAUAAUUAAUGACAGCUGUAAGGUGCCACUACUGCCAGUUGUCAAUUCGUCUUUGUUUUAAGCAAUGAAGUGGACAAGUUGCCAGAAAAAAGUAAGUUAUUUGAACACUUUACAAAAGGAGGCUUCUAUAAGUGUCACAGAAAAGUUUUGCCUUACUGGGGAAUAUAUUAGGACCUCUCUGUGACAUUACUGACUGCUUUUUAUGUAUAGAUAGCUUUAGAAGAAGGAAAAGGUUCAUAAUACUAGGAUAGGCUUUCCUCUGUUCCAUUUUUUUAGGUCAUUUUAAAAUCAGAAAAUAUUUCUAGCAUUCCUUCUACUUCAAGAUAGUAUCUGCAAAGAAAAGGAAUAUACUGAUAUUCUGUUAACUCAGCAUUUUGAAAAUAAUAACAAUUGAAAUCUCCAAAAGAAGCUACUGAAAAUUAUGGAACUUAGUUUUCUUUUUGUUCUUUAUGUGCUGUGGACUUUAAAAUACAGCAGCUCAGGCAGUUGUCAAAGGUGGGCAGAACGGGGUGCAAUUUCACAGUGGUAGUGAGCCCAGAGCAGGAAAUGAGGACGAAAGAAGUCAGAAGAAUGGGUGAAACUGGGAUGGGGUCAUGGGCAUCGGGAUGGAGGCAAAAGUUGCUUUGGAUGUGAUGGAGCUGAGAUGCUCCACCUGUGACACUGAUAAUCAAAUGCAUGUUUUGUAUUCUACCCACUGUUUCAGGAAGCGUAUCUAUUGCUGCUGCUUCUGAUGAAAAAGAAUGGUCAAGUAAAGAGUCGCAGAUUCCAUAAGGUAUGAUUUCUGUUUUCAGAGUUUUCAAAGUAGUUUAAGAUGUCUUUAAGUCAAGUAACAUCACCAUUGCAAAGUCAAGCAUUGAAAAAUGCAGAAUUAAUGUUGUCCUCUCCCCCCCUCCCUUUUUUUUUUAAUGGCCCAUUUCUCCAAAUAAAGCAUUAUCUAGUGUAUUACCUAAUCA